rnacentral:rRNA from 1 species
CUAUGUGUAGUGCGAUGUGGGGACGGAUCCUAAUAGGUCAUCCAGUUAUUGGAUUCUGGUUUAGGCAGAUGUAGACGACAGGUAGGAAAAUCCGCUUGUCAUAUGUUGAGGCUGCCAAUCGAGCGAGCUUGCUCGCGAAGUGACUGAACGAGGUUCCAGGAAAAGCCACUAAGCUUCAGCUGCACACGACCGUACCGCAAACCGACACUGGUGCGCGAGAUGAGUAUUCUAAGGCGCUUGAGAGAACUCUGGAGAAGGAACUCGGCAAAUUGACACCGUAACUUCGGAAGAAGGUGUGCCCUAGUAGUGUGAUGAGAACAUCUGAGCACGAAUGGGUUGCAAUAAAUAGGUGGCUGCGACUGUUUAUCAAAAACACAGCACUCUGCAAACACGAAAGUGGACGUAUAGGGUGUGACGCCUGCCCGGUGCUGGAAGAUUAAUUGAUGGGGUGCAAGCUCUUGAUCGAAGUCCCAGUAAACGGCGGCCGUAACAAUAACGGUCCUAAGGUAGCGAAAUUCCUUGUCGGGUAAGUUCCGACCUGCACGAAUGGCGUAACGAUGGCCACGCUGUCUCCUCCAGAGACUCAGCGAAGUUGAAAUGUUUGUGAUGAUGCAAUCUCCCCGCGGAAAGACGGAAAGACCCCAUGAACCUUUACUGUAGCUUUGUAUUGGACUUUGAACAGAUCUGUGUAGGAUAGGUGGGAGGCUUUGAAGUGCGGUCGCUAGAUCGCAUGGAGCCAACGUUGAAAUACCACCCUGGUGUGUUUGAGGUUCUAACCUGGGCCCAUUAUCUGGGUCGGGGACAGUGCAUGGUAGGCAGUUUGACUGGGGCGGUCUCCUCCCAAAGCGUAACGGAGGAGUUCGAAGGUACGCUAGUUACGGUCGGACAUCGUGACGAUAGUGCAAUGGCAUAAGCGUGCUUAACUGCGAGACUGACAAGUCGAGCAGAUGCGAAAGCAGGACAUAGUGAUCCGGUGGUUCUGUAUGGAAGGGCCAUCGCUCAACGGAUAAAAGGUACUCUGGGGAUAACAGGCUGAUACCGCCCAAGAGUUCAUAUCGACGGCGGUGUCUGGCACCUCGAUGUCGGCUCAUCUCAUCCUGGGGCUGUAGCCGGUCCCAAGGGUAUGGCUGUUCGCCAUUUAAAGAGGUACGUGAGCUGGGUUCAAAACGUCGUGAGACAGUUUGGUCCCUAUCUUCCGUGGGCGCUGCAGAUUUGAGAAAGCCUGCUCCUAGUACGAGAGGACCGGAGUGGACGCACCGCUGGUGUACCUGUUGUCACGCCCGUGGUAUCGCAGGGUAGCUAAGUGCGGAAGAGAUAACCGCUGAAAGCAUCUAAGCGGGAAACUCGUUUCAAGAUUAGAUCUGCCGGGGCCUUGAGCCCCCUGAAGAGUCGUUCAAGACCAGGACGUUGAUAGGCUGGGUGUGGAAGCGCAGUAAUGCGUUAAGCUAACCAGUACUAAUUGCUCGUGCGGCUUGACCCC